rnacentral:piRNA from 1 species
UGAUGUGAAAUGGAGUCUCUUUGUGGUU